AAAAGAAACUAACAAGGAUUCCCCUAGUAACGGCGAGUGAAGAGGGAAGAGCUCAAAUUUUAAAUCUGCCUUGUUUCAAGGUCGAGUUGUAAUUUGAAGAUGCGUUUUCUCGGGCCCGCACCGGUAGAAGUUCUCUUGGAACAGGGCAUCAUAGAGGGUGAUAAUCCCGUCUGUGACCGGUCGCGAGUUCGUAUACGAUACGCACUCUAAGAGUCGAGUUGUUUGGGAUUGCAGCUCAAAACGGGUGGUAAACAUCACCUAAGGCUAAAUAUUGGCGAGAGACCGAUAGCGAACAAGUACCGUGAGGGAAAGAUGAAAAGAACUUUGAAAAGAGAGUUAAACAGUACGUGAAAUUGUUGAAAGGGAAACGCUUGAAGUCAGUCGUGCUGGCAUGAAAUCAACCGUUGCGCUAGUAAGUUGUCUGCGGGUGAGCUAAAAACCAUCGCGUUGACAUUUUUGCGUGCGCAGCGGUGCACUUUUGUGUCAGCUGGUUAGCAUCAAUUUCGACCGUCAUAAAAAGGCUGGGGGGAUGUGGCUCCUUCGGGAGUGUUAUAACCCUUAGCGGAAUGUGGUGGACGAGAUUGAGGUUUGCAACG
rnacentral:rRNA from 1 species